GGGUCCUCAAACUGGAGCUCAGGACCCCUCAGGGGGUCAUGAGCUGUUAGCCUCCACCCUAAAGCCCGCUUUGCCUGCAGCAUUUACAAUGGUGUUAAAUAUAUUUAAAAGUGUUUUUAAUUUAUAAGGGGGUUUGCACUCAGAGGCUUGCUAUGUGAAAGGGGUCACCA